rnacentral:rRNA from 1 species
CCCUAGCACAGGUGCUGCAUGGCCGUCGUCAGCUCGUGCCGUGAGGUGUUCGGGUUAAGUCCCGCAACGAGCGCAACCCUCGACCUUAGUUGCCAGCAUUCAGUUGGGCACUCUAAGGUGACUGCCGGCUAAAAGUCGGAGGAAGGUGGGGAUGACGUCAAAUCAUCAUGCCCCUUAUGACCUGGGCUACACACGUGCUACAAUGGGCGGUACAAAGGGUCGCGAACCCGCGAGGGGGAGCCAAUCCCAAAAAGCCGCUCUCAGUUCGGAUUGCAGGCUGCAACUCGCCUGCAUGAAGCCGGAAUCGCUAGUAAUCGCGGAUCAGCAUGCCGCGGUGAAUACGUUCCCGGGCCUU